GCCCAGACUCCUACGGGAGGCAGCAGUGGGGAAUAUUGCACAAUGGGGGAAACCCUGAUGCAGCGACGCCGCGUGAGCGAUGAAGUAUUUCGGUAUGUAAAGCUCUAUCAGCAGGGAAGAAAAUGACGGUACCUGACUAAGAAGCCCCGGCUAACUACGUGCCAGCAGCCGCGGUAAUACGUAGGGGGCAAGCGUUAUCCGGAUUUACUGGGUGUAAAGGGAGCGUAGACGGCAAUGCAAGCCAGAUGUGAAAGCCCGGGGCUCAACCCCGGGACUGCAUUUGGAACUGUGUAGCUGGAGUGUCGGAGAGGCAGGCGGAAUUCCUAGUGUAGCGGUGAAAUGCGUAGAUAUUAGGAGGAACACCAGUGGCGAAGGCGGCCUGCUGGACGAUGACUGACGUUGAGGCUCGAAAGCGUGGGGAGCAAACAGGAUUAGAUACCCCCGUA
rnacentral:rRNA from 1 species